GACGUAGGGCGCGAGCGUUGUCCGGAUUUAUUGGGCGUAAAGAGCUCGUAGGCGGCUUGUCGCGUCGACUGUGAAAUCCCGAGGCUCAACUUCGGGCUUGCAGUCGAUACGGGCAGGCUAGAGUUCGGUAGGGGGAGACUGGAAUUCCUGGUGUAGCGGUGAAAUGCGCAGAUAUCAGGAGGAACACCGAUGGCGAAGGCAGGUCUCUGGGCCGAUACUGACGCUGAGGAGCGAAAGCGUGGGGAGCGAACAGG
rnacentral:rRNA from 1 species